rnacentral:rRNA from 1 species
UUUAGAGUUUAAUCAGGCUCAGGACGAGCGCAGGCGGCGUGCCUCAUACAUGCACGUCGAGCGGACAGAUGGGAGCUCGCUCCCUGAUGUUAGCGGCGGACGGGUGAGUAACACGUGGGUAACCUGCCUGUAAGACUGGGAUAACUCCGGGAAACCGGGGCUAAUACCGGAUGGUUGUUUGAACCGCAUGGUUCAAACAUAAAAGGUGGCUUCGGCUACCACUUACAGAUGGACCCGCGGCGCAUUAGCUAGUUGGUGAGGUAACGGCUCACCAAGGCAACGAUGCGUAGCCGACCUGAGAGGGUGAUCGGCCACACUGGGACUGAGACACGGCCCAGACUCCUACGGGAGGCAGCAGUAGGGAAUCUUCCGCAAUGGACGAAAGUCUGACGGAGCAACGCCGCGUGAGUGAUGAAGGUUUUCGGAUCGUAAAGCUCUGUUGUUAGGGAAGAACAAGUACCGUUCGAAUAGGGCGGUACCUUGACGGUACCUAACCAGAAAGCCACGGCUAACUACGUGCCAGCAGCCGCGGUAAUACGUAGGUGGCAAGCGUUGUCCGGAAUUAUUGGGCGUAAAGGGCUCGCAGGCGGUUUCUUAAGUCUGAUGUGAAAGCCCCCGGCUCAACCGGGGAGGGUCAUUGGAAACUGGGGAACUUGAGUGCAGAAGAGGAGAGUGGAAUUCCACGUGUAGCGGUGAAAUGCGUAGAGAUGUGGAGGAACACCAGUGGCGAAGGCGACUCUCUGGUCUGUAACUGACGCUGAGGAGGGAAAGGGGGCGG